rfam:Myotis davidii contig58803, whole genome shotgun sequence.
GAGAUACCCCUAUGGAGCAGGAUUUGCUUCAGUGGGGCUUUGGUGCUCACUGAGUCUGCCCCUUGAGUGUUAUUUA